AAGUCUUUUUUUGCCUCCAUUUCAAAAAAAAAUCUAACAAGAGAAAAAAUAGUUGUUGCUAUCACUAGUAAAAAAACAGAAGUUUUGUUUUAGAAAUCACGCAAUGAUACAAAGGCUUAGCGACAAAAAAACAAAAUUAUCCCGAAAUUAGUUGUGAUCAAUGCGAACGAACCCAAAGUCCAGCACCAGCCGUGCAUUUCAAGUGCGGGUUUGACACAAGGCCACCAACCAGUUCACAGGUGUGCCCUCGCCUGGCAAGGUGUCGACCACCGGACGGCAGAGCAUCACCGCAGCUGGCAACGCGGCCGCACGACCAAUCUGAACCCGGCGACAACCGUGACCUUCGCCCUACACUACAACCUCAAGCGGCCAUCCGCACAUGUCGCUCUCCACCACCGCCGGACCGGGACCGGACGAGCCGGCCAUUGUCGUCCAAUCAAGGCGCGCACACGAGCAGCUUGCCGAGGCCGGGGCCUUUCCCAACUUCCUCUUCACGUGAACUCAUUCAGCCGAUGGUCCAGUGCAAAGUCAAGGCCGCCAUCACCACGUAUCAGCGUCAGGAAAAGGAGAAGUGCGUAUCGUCCUGUGAUUCGGCGAGUUGCUCAACAAACGGGAGGAAGGUGGCGUCCUCUCCCUUCCUGAUAUUUGGGACACCUACACCUGCGGCAAGGGCGAACAGAAGAUGUUUAGUCACAUAUCAGUGGAAUUGCGUGUCCAAUCUACGACGGAAAGCAGUGAUGGUCAUGCUCCGUAGGUCGCAAAAUGAAGCGGAGAAUUCAAAUAGGUAGAAUAUAUCUGAAGAAAACUAGAGCGGGGGGUGGUUGCUGUGAGGAGAAUAGGGAUAACAGCAUUGUCUACACGUAUCAAAAUGUACUAAAAUGCUACUGCAGUUAGGUGAUAUUCUAGAUUAGUUAGUUGGUUGUUUACACCACAGAGUUCACAAAGAUAUAUCAAAAGGAACACGUAAAGAUAGUAGCAAGCUGGUGAAUUUAUUUGCUACCAUCACAUGCAAAGAACCAGUAGACAGCUAUCAGACUUACUUUUAAAGUCAUGCACGACAGCAACAUUCCAGAAACCACACGAAGCCACUUUUCGCAACAUCGUUGAAUUAACGAAAUUUAGUAUGUGUAAGGUUACGUGCAUUAUUGAAGCCCAGACCUUAUAUAACGAGCUUAUGGCGUAGGGAGCGAGCAUCACUUACUUAUGGUUGGUAGCAUUGCCAUCUUUCAAGGAACCUGAGCAUUCAUCUUCAGCCCCAGGCU
rnacentral:lncRNA from 1 species